UUCCUUGAGAUGCUGACAUCCAAUUUGUGCACUUCUCUGUAUGUAUGUCAUACUAUAGUAAGAUAUGCACCUUCUUAUCACUUGGUGGGAUGAAAUUCCUUACUCAGAUGUUUAAAACCACCUCACAGAGGUGAUAGGUACCCCUCCUGGUGAGAGUGGGAACCCAGGCAUCUGUACUGGUUAAUUUUAUGUGUCAACGUGUCUGGACCAUGAAACCCAGAUAUUUAGUUAAACAUCCUGAAUGUUUCUGUGAAAGAGUUUCAUUGUUUUUUGUUGUUUUUUGCUGAAGUUAACUUUCAAAUGGGUGGACUUUAAAUAGAUCGCCCUGCACGGCGUGGGAAAGCCUCCACCAAUCAGGCGAGGCCUUAGUAGAACCAACCCAAUAAAAGCCAGGAUUCUGUUGGCAGCGCUCCUUUGGGUUGCACCUCUUCCUGGAGUCUGCAGUCUGUAGUCCUACUCCAUCAGAUUGGGAUUCACUAAGCCUCCACAAUCAUGUUAGGAAAGUGAGGAAGAAAGAAGUGGAAUAAGUCAUCCAGGAUCAUAUUUCUGGCACCAACAACAUCAUCUGGAACAUUUUCAUCAUCACUUCAAAUAUCUUUAUUCUUCAGUCUUUCUUCUCCAUUUAUCUUGCUUACCAUUUUUUGUAAAUGUAGUCUUUCUAUAAUAAAUGGGAAUAACUUUUAAUUUCUCUUUAUAGUUUCUAUACUUUGAGUGAUACUUACUUCCAUUGUUUUAAUCAUUUCCAUAUUGUUGAUUAUUAAUAAACCUCUAGAAAUUACCUUUCUAGAAA